rnacentral:rRNA from 2 species
GCAGUCGAACGGAAUCUUCGGAUUUAGUGGCGGACGGGUGAGUAACGCGUGAGAAUCUAGCUCUAGGUCGGGGACAACCACUGGAAACGGUGGCUAAUACCGGAUGUGCCGAAAGGUGAAAGAUUUAUUGCCUAGAGAUGAGCUCGCGUCUGAUUAGCUAGUUGGUGUGGUAAGAGCGCACCAAGGCGACGAUCAGUAGCUGGUCUGAGAGGAUGAUCAGCCACACUGGGACUGAGACACGGCCCAGACUCCUACGGGAGGCAGCAGUGGGGAAUUUUCCGCAAUGGGCGAAAGCCUGACGGAGCAAUACCGCGUGAGGGAGGAAGGCUCUUGGGUUGUAAACCUCUUUUCUCAGGGAAUAAGAAAGUGAAGGUACCUGAGGAAUAAGCAUCGGCUAACUCCGUGCCAGCAGCCGCGGUAAUACGGAGGAUGCAAGCGUUAUCCGGAAUGAUUGGGCGUAAAGCGUCCGCAGGUGGCACUGUAAGUCUGCUGUUAAAGAGCAAGGCUCAACCUUGUAAAGGCAGUGGAAACUACAGAGCUAGAGUACGUUCGGGGCAGAGGGAAUUCCUGGUGUAGCGGUGAAAAUGCGUA